GGGGGAGUGCCGGAACUGGCAGACGGGCAAGACUUAGGAUCUUGUGCCGCAAGGCGUGAGGGUUCAAGUCCCUCCUUCCCCACCA
rnacentral:tRNA from 1 species